rnacentral:rRNA from 1 species
CAGCCGCCACGGUAAUACAGAGGGUGCGAGCGUUAAUCGGAUUUACUGGGCGUAAAGCGUGCGUAGGCGGCUAAUUGAGUCGGAUGUGAAAUCCCCGAGCUUAACUUGGGAAUUGCAUUCGAUACUGGUUAGCUAGAGUGUGGGAGAGGAUGGUAGAAUUCCAGGUGUAGCGGUGAAAUGCGUAGAGAUCUGGAGGAAUACCGAUGGCGAAGGCAGCCAUCUGGCCUAACACUGACGCUGAGGUACGAAAGCAUGGGGAGCAAACAGGAUUAGAUACCCGUGUAGUCCCUGUCUCUUAUAU